AUUGAACGCUGGCGGCAGGCUUAACACAUGCAAGUCGAGCGGGGAAAGGUAGCUUGCUACCUGACCUAGCGGCGGACGGGUGAGUAAUGCUUAGGAAUCUGCCUAUUAGUGGGGGACAACAUCUCGAAAGGGAUGCUAAUACCGCAUACGUCCUACGGGAGAAAGCAGGGGACCUUCGGGCCUUGCGCUAAUAGAUGAGCCUAAGUCGGAUUAGCUAGUUGGUGGGGUAAAGGCCUACCAAGGCGACGAUCUGUAGCGGGUCUGAGAGGAUGAUCCGCCAAAAUGGGAAUGAGACAAGGGCCAGAAUCCUACAGGAGGCAGCAGUGGGGAAUAUUGGACAAUGGGGGGAACCCUGAUCCAGCCAUGCCGCGUGUGUGAAGAAGGCCUUUUGGUUGUAAAGCACUUUAAGCGAGGAGGAGGCUAACGAGAUUAAUACUCUUGGAUAGGGGACGUUACUCGCAGAAUAAGCACCGGCUAACUCUGUG
rnacentral:rRNA from 1 species